rnacentral:rRNA from 1 species
UGCCAGCAGCCGCGGUAAUACGGAGGGUGCAAGCGUUGUUCGGAAUUAUUGGGCGUAAAGCGCGUGUAGGCGGCUUGGUCAGUCGGAUGUGAAAUCCCGGGGCUCAACCUCGGAACUGCAUCCGAUACUGCCAAGCUCGAGUCUCGGAGAGGGUGGCGGAAUUUCCGGUGUAGAGGUGAAAUUCGUAGAUAUCAGGAGGAACACCGGUGGCGAAGGCGGCUUCCUGGCUCGUUACUGACGCUGAGACGCGAAAGCGUGGGGAGCAAACAGGAUUAGAUA